UACGUAGGGGGCAAGCGUUGUCCGGAUUUAUUGGGCGUAAAGAGCGUGUAGGCGGCCAUUCAGGUCAGCUGUGAAAACUCGAGGCUCAACCUCGAGACGUCGGUUGAAACCGUUUGGCUAGAGUCCGGAAGAGGAGAGCGGAAUUCCCGGUGUAGCGGUGAAAUGCGCAGAUAUCGGGAAGAACACCCGUGGCGAAGGCGGCUCUCUGGGACGGUACUGACGCUGAGACGCGAAAGCGUGGGGAGCGAACAGG
rnacentral:rRNA from 1 species